CCCUAUUAUAUUGAAUGUAAAAAAGAUAAGCUAGAUUAGUAUUAGUUAUGUUCUUGAAAUUUAAAAGAUUUGGCGGUAUUUUAGUCUUUUUAGAGGAACCUGUUUUAUAAUUGAUAAUCCACGAUUUAUUUUACUUAAUUUAAUAGUUUGUAUAUCGUCGUAGUUGGAAUGUCUUAUAAGAGUAAAAAUGUUCAAAAUUUAAAAUUAUAAAGGAAUUCAGAUCAAGAUACAGUUUAUAAUUAAGAAAAAAUGGGUUACAAUAAAUUUAUUUAUAUGGAUAUAAUAAUUUAAUUAUUAUUGAAAAUGGAUUUAAAAGUAAUAUAAUUAAAUUUAAUUAUAUGAUUAAAGCUCUAAAAUAUG
rnacentral:rRNA from 1 species